rnacentral:rRNA from 1 species
AUUGAACGCUGGCGGCAGGCCUAACACAUGCAAGUCGAGCGGAUGAAGGGAGCUUGCUCCUGGAUUCAGCGGCGGACGGGUGAGUAAUGCCUAGGAAUCUGCCUGGCAGUGGGGGAUAACGUCCGGAAACGGGCGCUAAUACCGCAUACGUCCUGAGGGAGAAAGUGGGGGAUCUUCGGACCUCACGCUAUCAGAUGAGCCUAGGUCGGAUUAGCUAGUUGGUGGGGUAAAGGCCUACCAAGGCGACGAUCCGUAACUGGUCUGAGAGGAUGAUCAGUCACACGGGAGCUGAGACACGGUCCAUGCUCCUACGGGAGGCAGCAGUGGGGAAUAUUGGACAAUAGGCGAGAGCCUGAUCCAGCCAUGCCGCGUGUGUGAAGAAGGUCUUCGGAUUGUAAAGCACUUUAAGUUGGGAGGAAGGGCAGUAAGUUAAUACCUUGCUGUUUUGACGUUACCAACAGAAGAAGCACCGGCUAACUUCGUG